rnacentral:rRNA from 1 species
CCAAACCCUUUGUGAACCUUACCUAUUAACCGCUGUUGCCUCGGCGGACGGCUGGCAGGGCACCCCCCCGCGGGGUCGCCCUACCGCCCCCGCCGGCAGCACCAAACUCUCGAAUUUAUAGCGAAUCUACUUCUGAAUAACAAAAACAAACGAAUCAAAACUUUCAACAACGGAUCUCUUGGGUUCUGGCAUCGAUGAAGAACGCAGCGAAAUGCGAUAAGUAAUGUGAAUUGCAGAAUUCAGUGAAUCAUCGAAUCUUUGAACGCACAUUGCGCCCGGUAGUAAUCUGCCGGGCAUGCCUGUCCGAGCGUCAUUUCAGCCCUCGACCCACUAUUCGCGUAGCUGGAUCGGUGUUGGGGCACUACGGUGGAAUACCCGUAGGCUCCGAAAUGAAGUGGCGGUCCCGCCGCGGCGCCCCCAUGCGUAGUAACAUCUCGUCUCGCAUCGGGUCCCGGUGGAGGCCUGCCGUCAAGCCUAUUCAAUCACAGAUGGUUUGACCUCGGAUCAGGUAGGGUUACCCGCUGAACUU